GAUGAAGAACGCAGCGAAAUGCGAUAAGUAGUGUGAAUUGCAGAAUUCAGUGAAUCAUCGAAUCUUUGAACGCACAUUGCGCCCCUUGGUAUUCCAUGGGGCAUGCCUGUUCGAGCGUCAUUUGUACCUUCAAGCUUUGCUUGGUGUUGGGUGUUUGUCCUGAGGGACUCGCCUUAAAGUAAUUGGCAGCCAGUGUUUUGGUUUUGAAGCGCAGCACAAGUCGCGAUUCAACGCUAUACGCCAGCUUCCACAAGCCUUUUUCACUUUUGACCUCGGAUCAGGUAGGGAUACCCGCUGAACUUAAGCAUAUCAAUAAGCGGAGGA
rnacentral:misc_RNA from 1 species